rnacentral:rRNA from 1 species
UACGGAGGGGGCGAGCGUUAUUCGGAAUUAUUGGGCGUAAAGGGCGCGUAGGCGGCUUGACAAGUCAAAGGUGAAAUCCCUCGGCUCAACUGAGGAACUGCCUUUGAAACUGUCUGGCUUGAGGCCGGGAGGGGGUAGCGGAAUUCCCAGUGUAGCGGUGAAAUGCGUAGAUAUUGGGAGGAACACCGGUGGCGAAGGCGGGUCUCUGGGCAGUAACUGACGCUGAGGAGCGAAAGCGUGGGGAGCGAACAGG